UACAGAGGGUGCAAGCGUUAAUCGGAAUUACUGGGCGUAAAGCGAGCGUAGUCGGUCAUUUAAGUCGGAUGUGAAAUCCCCGGGCUCAACCUGGGAAUUGCAUUCGAUACUGGAUAGCUAGAGUUCGGCAGAGGGAAGCGGAAUUUCUGGUGUAGCGGUGAAAUGCGUAGAUAUCAGAAGGAACAUCAGUGGCGAAAGCGGCUUCCUGGACCAGAACUGACGAUCAGGCUCGAAAGCGUGGGGAGCAAACAGG
rnacentral:rRNA from 1 species